rnacentral:lncRNA from 1 species
AAAGGGGACAUGUGGGGGGGGGGCACACAAAGGGGAUAUGUGGGGUGGGGGUCCCGUGUGGGUCCCAGCCCCAAAUCCUAUUGAGAGGCCCCCAGGUGCAAAGUGUGGGGCGGACAUACAGCAGACGGGGGCCCCCCCCCCCCAACAGACGGGGCUGUGCCCUCAUCCUCAUCCUCAUCCUCAUCCUCAUCCUCAUCCUCAUCCUCGGCACUGGCUGCAUGGGAUGCUGCUGUUGCAUGCGGCGCUGCUGCAGGGGAUGGGGGGAGCAGAGGGAUGCAGGGGAUAGAGGGGCAUGGAGCUGCAGGGCUGCAGAGACCAAGGGCUGCAGGGAUGCAUUGCCAACAUGGAUACGGGGAUAUGGGGCUGCAGGGAUGCAGAGCUGCACAGGACCCAGGGAUGCAGGGAUCCAAAGCUGCAGGGAUGCAGGGCUGGAAGGGAUGGGGGGAUGCAGGACACGGAGAUGCAGGGACCUGGGGGGGGGAUUCAGGGCUGCAGGAAUCCAAAGCUGCAGGGGUGCAGGGAUACAGGGAUGGUAGGGACCCAGGGGAUGCAGUGGAUACAGGGGAUGCAGGGAUCCCAGGCUGCAGGGCUGCAGGGAUUCGGGACACAGAGAUGCAGGGAUCCAAGGCUGCAGGGCUGCAGAGCUGGAAGGGAUGGGGGGAUUCAGGGACCUGGGGCUGCAGGGAUACAGAGCUUGAGGGGACCCAGGGAUGCAGGGAUCCAAAGCUGCAGGGCUGCAGGGAUUCGGGACACAGAGAUGCAGGGAUCCCAGGCUGCAGGGAUGCAGAGCUGGAAGGGAUGCAGGGAUGCAGGGGAUGCAGGGAUCCCAGGCUGCAGGGAUGCAGGGAUUCAGGACGUGGAGAUGCAGAGACUCGAUGCCGCAGGGCUGCAGACCCAGCCGGGAUCCAGGGCCGCCCCGUCCGUCUUAUCCCCAUACAGACACACGGUGUCGGGGGGGGGUCCCCUCCCAAACCCCUCCCAGACCCCUCCCCCUCCAUCAGACCCCCCCCCCCAUUCCCCAUAGACCCCCCGGGGGUCUCCUGUGUCUGGUCCCGCACCGCCUGCGCCCAGCCCGGCAGGUUGAUGCGCUGAUCGUCCAUGAUGAGCAGCCGGGCUCCGUGUCCGCUGCGCUGCAGCGCCGGCCCCAGGUCCAGGGCGAUAAAAUCCCGCUGUUGUUCCGCCGUAAAAGCGACGGUGGGAAACAGCGGGUGGGCGAACAGCGCCGCGAGGGGCUCGUUCUGAGCCGUCAGAGCCCAGAAAGACACGUUGUGUCUGAGGUACGAGUCCAGGAACCUGCCGCGGGGCGGGGGGACAA